GUAGCGGGCGUGGUGCGGUACAGUGGGAAAAACAUCGGCGGCAUCAGCUCACCCAGGUACCGGAGAUGCCCUGUGCUGUCAGCCAACCUGAUGGAAAGCUGUUCUUCUGUGUCUGCAGCAUGACGAAGGUGCGAAGAUGACACAGCGCGACUGCGAAUGGCUAUACUGUCAUCGGAGCUGCUGCGGCUUUCGAAUGCAGCGACGUUUCAUCACGACAGUGGUGGUCCUCCUGACAUGUACUGCGCUGUACCUUCACUUCGUCGCGCCAAACCGCUCGCGCGCGGCGGGGCCGGCUCCCGACGGCUGUGCUGCCGUCUACCGGCUGACGGUGGCACUACAG